rnacentral:rRNA from 1 species
UACGGAGGAUGCAAGCGUUAUCCGGAAUGAUUGGGCGUAAAGCGUCCGCAGGUGGCUGUGUAAGUCUGCUGUCAAAGAGCGAAGCUCAACUUCGUAAAGGCAGUGGAAACUACACGGCUAGAGUGCGUUCGGGGCAGAGGGAAUUCCUGGUGUAGCGGUGAAAUGCGUAGAGAUCAGGAAGAACACCGGUGGCGAAAGCGCUCUGCUAGACCUGUACUGACACUGAGGGACGAAAGCUAGGGGAGCGAACAGG